CAAUGGAAAAAGAAGAAGCAAUAACCCGAGAGAAUGUGACAUCCUGCGACGGGUGAGCCAGAAGGACUGAGCUCUAGAAGGAGUGAGCCAACACUAGACCGACUGAACAGCCUAGCAUUGACUCGAGAAGGGGUGAGCCAACACCAGACCGAUUGAACAGCCUAGCAUUGACUCGAGAAGGGGUGAGCCAACACCAGACCGAUUGAACAGCCUAGCAUUGACUCGAGAAGGGGUAAGCCAACACCAGACCGAUUGAACAGCCUAGCAUUGACUGAAGAAGAACUGCGUUGGGUGGGGUUUUAUAC